rnacentral:rRNA from 1 species
UGGGAACCUUCCCUAUGGUUCGGAAUAGCUCAGGGAAACUUGGGGUAAUACCGGAUAAGCCCUUCGGGGAAAGAUUUAUCGCCAUUGGAUGGGCCCGCGUCGGAUUAGCUAGUUGGUGAAGUAACGGCUCACCAAGGCAACGAUCCGUAGCUGGUCUGAGAGGAUGAUCAGCCACACUGGGACUGAGACACGGCCCAGACUCCUACGGGAGGCAG